rnacentral:rRNA from 1 species
AUACGUAGGGUGCGAGCGUUGUCCGGAAUUACUGGGCGUAAAGAGCUCGUAGGUGGUUUGUCGCGUCGUCUGUGAAAUUCCGGGGCUUAACUCCGGGCGUGCAGGCGAUACGGGCAUAACUUGAGUACUGUAGGGGAGACUGGAAUUCCUGGUGUAGCGGUGAAAUGCGCAGAUAUCAGGAGGAACACCGGUGGCGAAGGGGGGUCUCUGGGCAGUAACGGACGCUGAGGAGCGAAAGCAUGGGUAGCGAACAGGAUUAGAUACCCUGGUAGUCCAUGCCGUAAACGGUGGGCGCUAGGUGUAGGGGUCUUCCACGACUUCUGUGCCGUAGCUAACGCAUUAAGCGCCCCGCCUGGGGAGUACGGCCGCAAGGCUAAAACUCAAAUGAAUUGACGGGG